AGUGGGAUAGCUGGGUCAAAUGGUGGCUCCAUUCAGGUUUUCUGAGGAAUCUCCACACUGCUUUCCAGAGUGGUUGCAUCAGUUUGCAGACCCACCAGCAAU
rnacentral:pre_miRNA from 1 species